rnacentral:rRNA from 1 species
AUUGAACGCUGGCGGCAGGCCUAACACAUGCAAGUCGAACGAGUGGCGGACGGGUGAGUAAUGUCUGGGAAACUGCCUGAUGGAGGGGGAUAACGACUGGCAACGGUAGCUAAUACCGCAUACCAUCAGAUGUGCCCAGAUGGGAUUAGCUUGUUGGUGGGGUAACGGCUCACCAAGGCGACGAUCCCUAGCUGGUCUGAGAGGAUGACCAGCCACACUGGAACUGAGACACGGUCCAGACUGCUGCGGGAGGCAGCAGUGAGAAAUAAUGCACUGUGGGCGCAAGCCUGAUGCAGCCAUGACGCGUGUAUGAAGAAGGCCUUCGGGUUGUAAAGUACUUUCAGCGGGGAGGCGCUCCCCGAAGAAGAAGCACCGGCUAACUCCGUGCCAGCCGCCGCGGUAAUAC